UACGUAGGGUGCAAGCGUUGUCCGGAAUUAUUGGGCGUAAAGGGCUCGUAGGCGGUCCGUCACGUCGGCUGUGAAAACCCAGGGCUCAACCCUGGGCCUGCAGUCGAUACGGGCGGACUAGAGUUCGGCAGGGGAGACUGGAAUUCCUGGUGUAGCGGUGAAAUGCGCAGAUAUCAGGAGGAACACCAAUUGCGAAGGCAGCUCGCUGGGACGUUACUGACGCUGAUGCGCGAAAGCGUGGGGAGCAAACAGG
rnacentral:rRNA from 1 species